rnacentral:rRNA from 1 species
AUUGAACGCUGGCGGCAGGCCUAACACAUGCAAGUCGAGCGAGCGGCGGACGGGUGAGUAAUGUAUGGGAAACUGCCUGAUGGAGGGGGAUAACUACUGGAAACGGUAGCUAAUACCGCAUACCAUCAGAUGUGCCCAGAUGGGAUUCGCUAGUAGGUGGGGUAACGGCUCAACUAGGCGACACUCCCGAGCUGGUCUGAGAGGAUGACCAGCCACACUGUAACUUAGACACGGUGCAGACUCCGACGGGAGGCAGCAGUGGGGAAUAUUGCACAAUGGGCGCAAGCCUGAUGCAGCCAUGCCGCGUGUAUGAAGAAGGUCUUCGGAUUGUAAAGCACUUUAAGUUGUGAGGCGUUGCCAACAGAAUAAGCACCGGCUAACUUCGUGCCAGCAGCCGCGGUAAUUC